CCCCGAGACUGAGGACUGGGGGCGCUGCUCUGGGCGCGUCCAUCCCCGUAGUAGCGCAGGGAGAGAGAGAACCGAGAGACCCCCGUGAACUCCCAAGGCGACCCGGCGAGUGGGGAAGCCAGAGCCCAGCAGGUGGGUCUUCUGACCACGUGGAUGCUCCGUCCACACCUGGUGACUCGGUGCCCUCCGAGUCCCCACACCUCUCCGCGGCGCCUUCCCGAGUAGAACUGCAUCUCUUACGCCCCCCGCCCCAAGUUCAGGUGCCCCAAGCCUUCUGGGCUGUGACAGGCACCGCUCAGCGCCCUGUGAUGGUCCUUCCCGUGCUCACGCACAGCACCCAAGGUGCUGGCCGCCCAGACCUUAUUCCCUUUGCUGGGAGGAAACUGAAUUACUGA
rnacentral:lncRNA from 1 species